UUAGGGAAAGGGUCUGCACCAGAGGGCGGUGGGCAUGGAACAGGCUGCCCAGGGCAGUGGGCACGGCCCCAGGUGCCCAAGUUCAAGGAGAGUUUGGAUGACGCUAUCAGACAUAGGGUUUGGAUUUUUGGGUGGUGCUGUGUGGAGCCUGAAGUCAAAGGAAAAUAUUGGCUAAUGAUGUGUACUCAGUAAAGUGACAUGGAUCUUUCUGAAGCAAACCUACCUGCUUCCAAGCAGCACCUUAUCUGAAACCACUGGGGAGUCGAGGGAGUGUUACAGGCUGCUUCAUGCUUGUAUGCAUUUCAGAAAGGAUGAGCACAGCGUUUUCUGGUUCAGGUGUUUCUGUAAUUGUGAUUCAUUAGGAUAAUGCACAGCACUUGGUGUCUAGCACCUGCGUGCUCCUGCUGCGCUGGUGUCAGUACUCUCAGCUGUUAUGUGAAAUUUAUGGCUCUACUGGCUAGUUCAAGAUACUUUUCUUCUUUAGUAGUCUCUUUUCAGUGUAUUUCUUGGUCUCUUCAGCACUGAAGGCGCAGUUGCAAGGAGCCUUUAAAUGACCCAGCAGCACGAUCAACAUGCUGAGUUUUUUUGUCCUUGCAGAGCAGGGUUACCCACAUGCUCUCAGUGGUACAUGAUACUCUUGCUCUUGACUGAGCAUUCCUCCUCCACCAUGAGGGGAGGAGAGGAAUAAGGGCAUGCAGUCCUUACUGAGCACAGCUGGCUUGCCACAGGGUGACAGCAAUAAUGGGGCUAGACAAUUUUUAAGAUGGCCAGCUGUGUCUGAAAGGCUCCUAUGGGCAGGAUGGGGGAGUGAGGUGCCUGCCCCUUCCUCUCAGUGUUUGUAGGACUGAUAUGUGUUCAAUCCUGCAGACUGUGGUUCAGCAUCCUUACUUGUCAACAUUUAUGGGGACUUGAGAGAGCUGAUACGGUACCCAGGGCUUUCUAGGCAGCUUGGGGGAAUCUGAGGUCUUUCUGUCUGCUGUUUUCAUUUUUCAGAGUCAGGCUGGAAAUGCAGCUUUCUCCCAGACAUCAGCUUGUCCAAGCUGGAGGCUACCAUAUCUGUAAGGUUGCCUCAUACCACUGGCUCUUAGCAGCUGCUGCUGGUUUCUGGGCACAUCAUGAAUGGGUGACUGAUGUGCGGGUUUCAUCUCUUGGGCUGUCAAAGUCUAGAAAUGAGAGGGUGAGCUUCAUGUUUUACCAGGGAUGGCUGUAUAGCGAUUGCAUUAAUGAUAAUAGAGCUUGAAUUGGGGGAGGUUAAGAGAGGCAAACAGGAAUCAGAAUUCAACAGACAAAAAACACACAUCUUUAUCAAUAGAUGGGGUUGAAAUAAAAUCACAGUUGUUUGACAGGUGUAAGUGACGUAUCUUUAAACAGUGGCAGCUCUAAUCCUUGAGAAAUUGUGACUCCUGCAAGCCUGACAGAGAGCAAUUAAGGUACAAGCUCAGCAGUCAAUAAAUGCCCCAUGGGAUUACAGGUUCACAGCAGACCCACAAGAUGCAGUCCUCUGACAAGGGGCUCAGAAGGCAAUAAGCUGAUCCUCAUUUGUUUUGCAGUAGCUUAUCAAUCAUACUGUUGGCCUAGGCCCUGUGCACACAGCUUAAACAGUUGCCUACAUGUUUCCAAUAUUCUCUCUUUUCCACUGAGCCUGCCUUGCUGCUUUCUCAAGGAAGUUAAUGGAUGUUUAAUAGCCCUUAGUAAGACCACAGUCUGGUGGUGGGUAGUUGUAUAGGAAAGAUCACUUAACAUCAAAACACGGCCAUUUCUGGAAUGAAACACGUUAAAGCCAUUCAACAGCAUCAGCUGACUGCUCUGAACUCUCUGAGACAAACUCAUGGAGGAUAAGUAGGAAAUGCUGGAAAAUUGACCCAGCCAUAGUCAGCGGGGGCUGCACAGGGUGGUUCUGUGAGGAAAAGAUGGAGGAGAGAUUUCUUCACACAACAAUUUCCACCAUAUCUGUCUGCUUUUGCAGAGAAAAUGGACAUGGAUACAAGGCAAAAGUAGUUAAUGGUAAGCAAUAAGUUCCCUGGGGGGAUAUAAGAAGGACAAUAAGACUUGACACUUUGCUGAACACUCAUGUAAUGAACACCAACAAAGUCUAAAGCGAACACUGUUGACACAAUUUAGUCUCACCCAGCUCCAUGCAUUGUGCAGAAAAGCAAAUGGUAGCUUAGUUUUCUGGUUCCCUUUUUCCAGUCUUGCAUUAAGUCUAGAAGUGGUCAUAGUGCUGAGACUGCCCUGAGCCCAUACCCAACCAAAUGCAUAGGACCGCAAGGUCCUGCUCCCCAGCUAGAGCACUGGCUACAUCUCUGUCAGAUGUUAUUUUUCUGUUUAAGGCUUGUUAUAAAUUGAAUAUUCUUUGCUCUAUUUUCUAGGUGAUUUUCAUUUUGAAGUUAAGAAUAAUUUUAUUGGUAUUAGGAGCUGGAGGGUAUGGCACUGUGAUGAUGUCAGUGUUGCCUUUGCUUGUUCACUGAUCAUUACUUUUGUGAUCUUUGGAUUUUCCUUUUGAACAUCUAGCACCUGGAGCCAUGGCAUUACUAAAUUAUCUCAUUUUAAAAUAAAUAAGAAAGAGAGACGGAAAACCAAGUUACUGACAGAUAAGAACCUGAAGAGUGUUUUUUCAGCUUCAGAGAAAAGUAAGAAUAAGUCAUUCUUUGAUGCCUUAGUAUUUCAUACAUUUUUGUAGUUGUUGUUUAGGAGAUAAUUGUACAGAUUCUUAUUUUGGUUAUCUG